rnacentral:SRP_RNA from 1 species
GCCGGGCGCAGUGGCUUGCGCCUGUAAUCCCAGCAAUGUGGGAGGCUAAGGCAGGUGGAUCACCUGAGGCCAGGGGUUCGAGACCAGCCUGGCCAAAAUGGUGAAACCCUGUCUCUA